GGGGGCGCUCUGGCUUCGACGGAGGUAGGGAACCACAGGAUGCGUGCCGAGCACCAGCACCUCGUUAAUCUGUUGGAAAACAACGCAACUGCGAACACGCAGCUCGCUCUCGCGGCCUAACGUGCCGUGACGUUCACCUCAACCAGCCUGCGGGUUGGGACUGAACGCCAUUUAGCAGGAUAGGUGUUGCGGCCGUUCUGGGACGCAGCACCGAGAUACCUUCCGGAACUAGCGGCGGGCGCUUUCGGUCGCGCUUUCAUGCCCAUCGCGAAAAUCUAAGCGCGGCUACGCAUGUAGAUUCCUGAGGCAACGUGCUUUCGGACGCGGGUUCGACUCCCGCCGCCUCCACCA
rnacentral:tmRNA from 1 species